ACAACUCAGCAACAGUUGCAAUGUUACAGAAGAUACAGUGUUCUGCAACGAUGCAGAAGGUCAUGUUCUAUAAUGUUGCAGAAGAUACAGGCGGGAGGGAAGACUAAAAUGCAGGAAUGUUCAUCUCCAUAUGGGCAGAAGGCAAUUUACGUUUUAAUGGGUUUCAAGGGAGAGAGAAUAUUUACAGCAAGCCUUCAAGAUAGCCAGGUAUGGUACAAGGAAUCUAGAGAAGUAGGCAAAAUCCAGGCCAUGGAUGUCCCCAUGUGACAUCCUAGGGAAAGCUGAGGGGAUUCCACAGUCUCAUUUGGAUCAUGGUCAUUCCAACAGCAAUGUGAGAAAUAAUUUGUACCUAGGCCUAAAUACAGAUCAUGAAUCCUAUGGACCUGAAUAGCACUGUCCAGAGAGAGACAAGAAAGAUGCAAAUCCAGGAAACUGGGAGUCAAAGAGAAGAUGAAGAUAAAGAGGGGGAAGUAGGCUGUGCUUAGUACUGUUGGUGACUGACCACGAAACCGCGGAAUUCUGGAUGACAAAGCUGAGACUUGAAGAGAUUUAAUAACUUUUCUGGAUAGAAAGCAGUCCAGAUGGGAUUUAAAUCCAGCUGUCAUUUGAACCAAGAUAUUUUUUGAAUUGAAACUAUUUCUUAUAUCAUAUAUAAUGUGGCUUAUGUGUGAAUGAAUCUACUAUUUUUGCAUAAAAUAUGCCUGGUAUGUGAAUAAAACUGAUUCCUUUUGUCCCUUUUUA